rnacentral:lncRNA from 1 species
CUAUUGAACUUGAAAAAGAGCUUUCAACUUCAAAAAGUCAAUCCAAACAGACCUCUGAAUUACAUUUCAAUGCAUAAAGAAAAUUAAGGCAUCAACAAAAACCAUAUGAAAAGCAACUUCCACUUGACCAGGAAUGAGUGAUUGAGAAGUUUGAGACAAUGUUAUGAGGUUCUAUUCUCCCCACCUUUUUAUGGAAAGUAAUAUCAGAAAGGAUGAAACACAUUGAUUCCUUUAAAAGACACCAUAAAAGCUAAAAAGAAUUUUGAAAAGGUAUGAACUAUGUUUAUACAUGAGACAAAGUCACCAUUUCUUUUCUUUUUCUUCUUGUUUUUUUUUUUUUUUUUUGUUGCUGUUGAUAGGUGAGAUGAAGACACAUCAUUGAUAACAUGUAGCAUUUUACAUCUUAUGGGUUGCCCAGAUAAACAGGGUUGUGAAAGUAGUACGAAAUUAUUGCCUUUUAAGAAUUCUGCCCUUACAUUUAAAAGAAGAGAAAUCAAUAGUCAAGAAAGGUAUAGAAACUCAUUAACACACAAGUGAAACUAGGAGAAAAUCGGGUGUCAAUCAUUGGGAACAAGGAAUUGCUCCGAGUACCCCUUUCUCUAUGCAUUGAUUUAUGUCAUUUUUCUACAGAUGACCAUGUAGGAACUUAGGCUAGAACUUGCCUAGGCAUUUCAACAUAUAUGUCAGUAAAGUUUGAAGGUUACCAGGGUAUUGAAUCAAAGCCUGAACUCCUCCAUUCUUAUCAAACAUUGCAAUCUUUUGGAUAGGCCCAAAAGCAGAAAAAACCUGGCCAUAAAAGAGCCAAAGAAUCAAUAUUGAGAAAGGAAUGAUUAACAGAAAAUGUUAAAAAUCACUGGUCAAAGUAGAUACCAUGUGUAAGACAUCCAAGGUGACAGCAUACUGCAUGUUCUCAAUAGAUGCAAGAAGAACAUUACUUUCAGGUUCUACUUUUCUUCCAUCAAAACCCAUGCUAAACUGCAUUGAUGACAAAUGAAAACUAUUUAAUUUAACCACUAAAGACAUCAAAAUAUCAGUUAGUUCCAUAAAAAUGAUGCAAAAAUCUUAUACAUCAGAUGGCAGAAGCAUGGAUCGCCGCCAAUUGCAUGUUAGUGCACUUCAACACACAUGCAAAUGUUUAAAGCAAGCACUCUUAGUUACCCAAGGUUUUGUGCAUAAAGGAAGAGCCAAAGAACAUAUCUUGCAUUGGCUCAAAGUGAAAUGUAUUUUGGGCACUUGCAUUUACAUAGGUGCAAUUAUAUGUGCUAUCUUUAUAUUUCAAAUUAUUCCAGCACCAUUUGACACCUUAAUGACUCAAUUAAACACCGUACAGAGAAAAGCUAAGCAUAAUUUAAACAAGUUCUACUUAGCAGCAGCAUUGUCUUUGUAAUUCUACACUAAGGUUUUCUAAUGUGGGCAGGUGCAUAGGCCUACAACAUAAACCGAUCUCAUAAAUAAAAAGACACCCAUUAUAUCUAAAUCAUUUUUCCUCCAUGUUUCCAUUUGUGUCCAAAAAAUUAUGACAGUCCCCAUUAUGUUUCCAAGACCUAUUAAAUGUUUUUCCUUACGAGGCCAAUGAAAACAAAUCAUUGAAAUAAAACAUAAUAUGAGGAGAGAGCAUUCAACGCAAACAUUGUAAUAGUUUCAAUAACAGAUAUUAUCAAAUGCUUCUGGAAUUUUUGCUGGCCACAAUAGGGAAUACAUGUGGAUGGAUGGUUAUAUUUGGCAUCUGAAGCCUCUCAUGAGAAACAUAAUAAACAAAUUGAUUGACCCUGGAAUGUGUAUAACAAGUAAUCAACAUGUCAUAGUAUAGGUAUGUCAUCUUCUACUCAAAAUAAAAUUCCAGAACCUUACUUGACCACUUCCAUCUAUGGCUGAUGAAGCAACAGGAAGAUAAGGAUUAGUGUAGUCCCUGAAUUUUGCAAAAAGGAAAAAUAUGAUCAAACAGAGUGAAUAGAGGGUAAGAAUCAAAUUUGACAAAAGAGGCAAAAAGGAGUCAGCAAUGAGCUAAAGAAAGAGAACUUGUAAACACAGAAACCAAUACUUGAACCUGGAUACCAAAACGGCCCAAUGCAAUACACUCAUAUACCAAAAGAAUUAUAAAUCAGUAAUACCUGCUGCGGUGGCUUUGGAAUUUCACACUCAAAUCUGUGUGUGCAGAAAAUGUAAUCCUAAGAGUGCAUGGUCCCAAAUGCUCUGGAAGUAGGUACCUAAUACCCAAGACAAGAAAGGCAGUUGAUCAUCAAGCAGGUAAAUUGAGUGCAUAUAGCAUAUGGAUGCAUAGCAAUAACAGAAUAACACAAGAACGUGAUAGGAAAUACAAUUUUCCAGUCUAAACUUCGAACAUAAAAGAAAUAAAAAAGGGUGGUACAUAAAAAAGUUUCGAAAGUCUAGAAGUCUAUCUGAAGUUUGAUUGGAUCAUUUAUACCAUAAAGAUUCUCAAAAAUAGGGCCAGCAGAUGUCCAACCAAGUGCAUAUGCAUUGAGUCUACAAUCAUAAAGUUGGAUUACAACCAGCGUCUAAUUAACAAAUGUUUUACCUCGGGAUGCUCCUUCCAUCCAAGGCAUUUUUUGCAGCAGAGGCAGUUUCUGAAUCUGAAAAUUGCACCAAAGCCUGACAAAGAUAUAGCACAAACUCAUGUUUGGAGGUAGAAGAACCCAUUAAUAGAAACCACAACAGAACUGAGUUAAAUUUAUAAACCUGGAAUCCGGCUGUCUUCUCAAAGGUAGUGAUCUUAUGCACAAAUCCAAAAGCAGAAAACACCUGCAUCACUGAAAUAACUUCAGCAAGAGAUUGAAACAAAAAUCCUACAAAUUUAAGAGGCUGUUCCAUCUGUUACCCUCUCUGAGUACUGUUACAGAAAUCAGGAAAUGUAAACGAAUCCAGCCAUCUAUUUUUUGGCAAACAGAAACAAUAACAGAUUUUAUCAUCUAUAUAAACAGGUUGGCAAAAUAAUCAACACAUCAUCAGUGACAAAUGAACAUUGAGAAUAACAAGAAAAAAUAUGAAAUUAAAGAUAAAAAGGAUCACCUACACCAUCAGUUUUAAACUUUUAACAAGUGCCAGGAAAACUGUAGUUUUAUUGUUCUGUAUCAAGGUCAUCUGAAAAGACUAACUGCCUUAACCAUAAGAAACAGUUGCACCUUGUUGGAAACUGAAAUGGAACUGACAUGUUAUUGAUAAAGUAAUAAGCUGUGAAUUGCAAACAAAGGGCGACCACUGUUUGCCUAUGAAACUCAGACUUUUACUCCAGGGGAAUGUGAACUGUAUCAUUCAUCUUCCACUCAGUAUCACUUAUUUAAAUUGCAUCAAAUGAAGAAUCUGAAACUCUUUACAGAAUUUGAGAUUUUGUGUUCUGCAUUGGAAGGAUAGCUUUAAUUGGGACAAUAUAUCAAAGUAAUAAAAGUGGGCAUUUUUGCAUCUUUCCUUGGACUAAAAACAAACUUCUAUAAGACUUGUUCAUCCAUUCCCAGAUCACUGCAUAAGUAAGAAAUCUCUAGGAUUGAACUAAACCUUCCAAUUAUCAACUAAGAAUUCUUCUCCUUCUUUUCUUAUGAUGCUCAUUACAGUUCCUUGGACAAAGCAGUGAAAGCCAAGUUUUCUUGAAGCUCAAAACUUCAACCCUUCUAUUUUUUAAUAGGCAAAUUAUACUUGUACCUUUUUGGUUUGUGAUGUAUGUGUGUGUGCUUCCAUAGAGGAAAACACAAUAUCAACUCAUUCUACAACACAAUUAUGAAACAUCUAUACCAAACAUAAAAAAUGCAUAGUGAAUAAUUGACCUACAAGUAUGGCAUUCUGGCACAGAGCAUGCUGUAUGGAAGGGAGAGGGAUGCACAAGAGCAAAGAAAUCAAAGCAUCCUAAACUCUUAGAAUGGUAGGGAGAGGAAGAUAAGGAGGAAGAGUAGGGAAGAAAGAGUCAGUGUUAAGGAAAGGAGAAAGAAGACAAACACACAUGUGCCCUUUCUCCCAAUGCAUUAAGCUGCCAUCGAAGAUAUUGCUGUGACAUGGGCCUGCUGAUUCAUUCACAUUCAUGUCAAACAAAUGCCUUAUGAAGCAUCACAAACUACAACCUAAUCAUAGAAACUCACAGCAACAUCCUUUUAGUGACAAAUUUACCUCCCAUAAUUGUUAACAGAAAAGCAUGCAACUUGCUUACCAAGUGUAAAACGUCAAUGCUCACAAGGCGUGCAUCAGCACCCUCGAUUGUCACCAGCAGUACAUUUCCAGCAACAUCAGCAGAUGUUUUGUUGUUUACUAUUUCUUGCCGGUUGGAAUAUUGUAAGUAGACGGUUUUCCCCCGUACUUGAGCCGGCUCUGAAGAUGAAGCAUAAUAUGAUAUCAUUGCAAUAGCUUGAUUCAAAUCUGCCUGGAAAAGAUUAAAAAAUAUAAUAAGUUCAAAUUUUUGACAGAAUGGAACAGAUAUUUAAAAAGGACAAAAGGAAAAAAAAUGGAGGAAAUAGUGUGUCUAAGAAGAUAAAGAAGAAUUCACACUCACAAAUUCAAUAAAAGCUUGAUUCCUGUUUGCCCCAACAUUGCAUUUUGUGUUGACAACUUUACCAAAUGGCUUUCCCAGCUCAAUCAAUUCCUCCUCUGUGCACUCCCAUGGCAAGUUCCUUAAAUGGAGCACCUUGGAUGGUGGUUGAGUGUAACGGAAUUGUGGUUGACUUGAUACAGAUGCCAUUCCGUACAAUAACCCCAAUUGGUUGAAGGACACUGCAGAGAUAUGAAGUCCUUUGGACCCCUAUGAUAAAAGAGUUAUUCGGUUAUUAUGUUCAUUAUAUUCCAAAAAUGUCUGCAUAUUUGCUAUAAGAUGCUAACUUGCGCGUCACACUUCGUAAGGAAAUCUUUCCACCCCACAACAAUGCCUAUUGCCACUGCACCAUAUAACAGGAUUCUAACAAAAACAAAGAGCACAACAAGGACAAAAGGCUUCAACAUUUUCCAUAACACUAUGUUCUUGAGUGUUGUCUUGGGUUGUCAUUCCAAAAUGAAAAGUUUCAGAAACAAUUUCUAAACAAGAUAAAUAUAACCUUGAAGUGCAGAAAAUGUUUGGAAUUGAUGGAAAUUUUUGUAAACAUAACAAGGACAAAGGAACAGUUUUAGAUGAUGCAAUGGCAAGGUCAAUAUAAUGGGAAAUAAAGCUAUUGGAAUUUAAUAUAACCAUCUUCAUAGUAAGAGAUGUAAAAAG